rnacentral:tRNA from 1 species
AGGGGGUAUGGCGGAAUUGGUAGACGCUACGGACUUAAAAUCCGUUGGCUUUAUUGACCAUGAGG